AUUGAACGCUGGCGGCAGGCCUAACACAUGCAAGUCGAGCGGAUGAAGGGAGCUUGCUCCUGGAUUCAGCGGCGGACGGGUGAGUAAUGCCUAGGAAUCUGCCUGGUAGUGGGGGAUAACGUCCGGAAACGGGCGCUAAUACUGCCUACGUCCUGCGGGAGAAAGUGGGGGAUCUUCGGACCUCACGCUAUCAGAUGAGCCUAGGUCGGAUUAGCUAGUUGGUGGGGUAAAGGCCUACCAAGGCGAUGAUCCGUUACUGGUCUGAGAGGAUGAUCAGUCACAUGGGAACUUAAACACUGUCCAGACUCCUACGGUAGGCGGCAGUGGGGAAUAUUGGACAAUGGGCGAAAGCCUGAUCCAGCCAUGCCGCGUGUGUGAAGAAGGUCUUCGGAUUGUAAAGCACUUGAAGUUGGGAGGAAGGGCAGUAAGUUAAUACCUUGCUGUUUUGACGUUACCAACAGAAUAAGCACCGGCUAACUUCGUG
rnacentral:rRNA from 1 species